CACGUGUCUGCUUAUGAGCCAGUGUGAUGAUUUUUUAAAAAAACAUUUCCUGCAGGUUCAGAAUUGACACAUCACAGAGUAUGUAUGCACUUAAUUUAACUAAGCACACCCAAGUCUCUCUACAGAUGUCUGUUCCAGGCUGCAUCUCACCAGCAGUGCUUGAGAGUUCCUACAGCUCCACAUCCCAGCCAGCAUUUGGUAUUAUCGAGAUAUGUAGGUUUUGACAGUCUAACACGUACAAGGGCACACUUGGCUAUUUGUGGACCUUUAAUCCUCUCUACAAACUUUUUAGUAAGUUUGUUAUGGGACAGUUUCUCUUUCCUUGCACUCAUUUCCUAAUCCUGAUCACCAGUUUGCCACCAAAGCCUACCCACAGCUCCUCUACCCAGUGAAACCCCUGAGGAAUGUUGCCAUGGUUAAUACUAAGUGUCAACUUGAUUGGACUGAAGGAUGCAAAGUAUUGCUCCUGGGUGUGACUGUGAGGGUGUUGCCAAAGGAGAUUAACAAUUGAGUCAGUGGACUGGGAGAAGCAGACCCACCCUCAAUGUGGGUGGGCACCAUCCAAUCAACCACCAGUGUGGCUGAAAUAGAGCAGGCAGAAGAAGGUGGGAGAAGCUGACUUGCUGAGUCUUCUGGCCUCCAUCUUUCUUCCAUGCUGGAUACUUCCUGCCCUGGAACAUCGGACUCCAAGUUCUUUGGCUUUUGGACUCUUGGGCUUACAGCAGUGGCUCUCAGGUAUUUGGCCACAGACUGAAGCCUGCACUGUAAGCUACUCUACGUUUGAGGUUUUGGGACUUGGACUGAGCCACUACUGGCUUCCUUCCUCCUCAAUUUGCAGACAGCCUGUUGUGGGACUUCACCCUGUGAUUGUGUGAGUCAAUUCUCCUUAAUAAACUCCCUUUCAUAUAUACCUCUAUCCUAUUAGUUCUGUCCCCCUGAGGAACCCUGACUAAUACAAAUGUGGACAGACAGGUCCCUGGAAAGAAACCUGGGGCCAAUCUUCCAAUCAGCUGGAAAGCCAAGGAAAGCAAUUUCCCCACAAAAAUGAGUGAGACAGAUAUUUUGAUGUUAUUAUGUUUGUUUGUUUGUUUGUUAAACAAACGGGAUAUGUUACAAUGUCUGGAGAUAUUUUUGAUUGUCAUAACUCCAGGGGAGAGGGAG
rnacentral:lncRNA from 1 species